CACAGCGAAAAUUCACUCGUCCUUUGAUACAUAUCGGUGGGACUUUCAAAGUUUCUUUGGCAGAGCUACAGGACACACCUGAACCAUCACCCCCAGGUGGAAAGGAAGGCAGAAGAAGAUUAUGGCGGCAUGAAGACAUUGAGACAUUCCAGGUCCCAGACUCAAGUUUUAACCUCCCUGAUGCUGUAAAGACACCCUUUCAGUAUUUUAAACUGAUGCUCGUCACAGAUGAGAUGAUUACACAUAUCUCUGAGCAAACCAAUCUCUAUGCUGCCCAGGAGCUGGGAGAUCCAAUCAGCACCAGUCCUGAAGAGAUUGAAAAAAUCCUGGCAAUGCUUCUCUUGUUAGUUGUACUGUACCUUAGUUAAUUUAUGCUGCUAACAAAUGCUGCUACAAUUUUUAUCACUUUUACCACUGUUACCACUUUAUCCAAUCGCUCCUUAUCACUAUUUAGUUUGUACUUAUUUUAUUUCAAUUCAUGCUGCUAAACUGCACGGUGCGUAUUGUUGUAUAUUGUAUAUACCUACGUUUAACUGCAAUUUUAGAUGCAUUUUGUCACAUUUAGUUACUUGUUUUCUUUUUUUCUACUUAUGUUACCUGUAAGUGCUUGCAUUUGUUGCAUUUAGUUAAUUGUUUGAUUUAUUUUAUGUUGGCCUUUACUUUAUUAUUUAUUUUAUCUUAUUUUAGGUUAGCUUAUUUUUACUCUAACCCUGCAUUACUUUCCCACCUUUGUAUUGAAACUGUUGCACAGUAAUUUCCCUCGGAUAAAUAAAGCUUCUUGAAUCUUGAAUCUUGAAUCUUCAUGGGUGUUGUCAGCUUCCCAGUCAUCGAUGACUACAUUGAGUCACGGUUCAGUGUGAUAGCCGAUAUUAUGCCAAAGAAACACUGCUGCCUCUCAAAAGGUUCCGUCUGGCAGUCGCACACACUUUGGCUCAAGUCAACAAGCCAGCAUCCAAAGUUGGCUGACCAUCAUCAUCCUCUCCACCACAGAUGUCGUCAAACAAAAAAUCCAAUACCCCAAGACCCUCCCACCCACAACCAGAUGUACAAUAUGACAACUUCGGACAUUUGCUACUUCACUCUAACAAGCGGGGGCGAUGCAACCUCUGUCCAAAGGGAGUGUCGAGAUGGAAAUGCCAGAAAUGUCAUGUAUUCCUGUGUAUGAAUGCAAAGCAGGAAUGCUUUGCAGCAUACCAUCAGAAAUGAGUGGCCAAAGGCAAAAUAAGUGCUGUUGCACCGCUGCUGUUGCACAACAGGUCAAAAACCGUUUGUGCUGUUGCACGACCACCAAAACUCAUUUGUGCUGUUGCAUGACCACCAAAAAAUAUUUG